AACGAACGCUGGCGGCAGGCCUAACACAUGCAAGUCGAGCGCCCGCAAGGGAGCGGCGGACGGGUGAGUAACGCGUGGGAACGUGCCCUUUGCUACGGAAUAGCCUCGGGAAACUGAGAGUAAUACCGUAUGUGCCCUUCGGGGGAAAGAUUUAUCGGCAAAGGAUCGGCCCGCGUUGGAUUAGGUAGUUGGUGGGGUAAUGGCCUACCAAGCCGACGAUCCAUAGCUGGUUUGAGAGGAUGAUCAGCCACACUGGGACUGAGACACGGCCCAGACUCCUACGGGGGGCAGCAGUGGGGAAUCUUAGACAAUGGGCGCAAGCCUGAUCUAGCCAUGCCGCGUGAGCGAUGAAGGCCUUAGGGUUGUAAAGCUCUUUCGUGGGGGAAGAUAAUGACGGUACCCCAAGAAGAAGCCCCGGCUAACUCCGUGCCAGCCGCCGCGGUAACAC
rnacentral:rRNA from 1 species